AAGUCGUAACAAGGUUUCCGUAGGUGAACCUGCGGAAGGAUCAUUAACACGUAUCCAAACGUUAAACAACCCCGUGAACAUACAACCUGCUCUGGUCGCCCGCUCGCAUGGACAAGCCCAGUAAAUCAAGCCCCGGAAAGUUUUUGAUUUGGGACCUCUGUGCGCGUGAGAAAAACUGACAGCGAUUCAUAGAAGCGGUAGGUCAAGUGACACGGCGUCCCCAAGUGACCAGUGAAUGAAAGUGUCGCUGGAGCGUCGAGGACGACUCUUCAAGAUUGCUAGAGGUCGACCACCGACCGGCUUCCGUGUAUACUGAGCUAACACCGCUCUCCGAACCCACUUUAUUGCCUUGCCUGUAAGUUAACAAUGGAUAUCUUGGUUCUC
rnacentral:misc_RNA from 1 species